CAGAACACGCCUGGGACUGCGUCCUUCAAAGUUAAGACCUGAAAAGUCAAGAUGUGGGGUCGCAAACAUGGAAAACAGCAUCCCCCAGGCAACUGUGGGAAACCUGACGGGUAUGGGCAGCCAGUAGCAGGGGGAUACCCUGGUAUGUUCCCUCCUGGAUCCAUUCAACCUCCCUUCCAGCCCUAUCCAGGGACAGGUCCCCAAGAAGGGCAUGGACAUCAUGGGCAUGAGCAUGGGCUUGGACAUCACGGGCAUGAGCAUGGGCACGGACAUCACGGGCAUGAGCAUGGGCACGGACAUCACGGGCAUGAGCAUGGGCACGGACAUCACGGGCAUGAGCAUGGGCACGGACAUCACGGGCAUGGCCAUGGGCAUGGGCAUCAUGGCGGGCAUGGUCAUUGAGGCAGAGACAAGCAAUACUGUGAAUUCCAGCAGUUCCUUCAGCAGUGACUCUGACUAAACCCAAGCAGUGAGAGUGACAUCGUGGUGCUGACAUCUUUCACUUAUCAGCCCAAGAUGAUCUUGUUCUCCUUAUUGUUUUACUGUAGAACUGGGGCUGAUCCCUAAUCUACAAAAAUCUCUAAACUAAAUAUUGUCUGAUUAAAAGAUGUGCAUGUGUUUCUUUUUUAAGAAUAAAAUGAUACCAAGAGAACACCUGUACUACACAAGAAUGUCAGUUUUGUCUCGCUGAAUGCUACUGUGUAUCGCACUGAGCUUUUUAGAUAACGAUUUAAACAGUAAGUAAAAGUUCACUAGGAAAAGUCAAUACUGUACAAUACGGUGGUACGCAGAAAUAGGAUAUGCACAUUUGUAUGUAUACAGUAAGUUUAGCAAUGUGUUACAUAUGAACCGAAAAGUCACACUUGCAUAUCAAUUUCUUCAUAUUUCUUACAUAUAAAGUCAUAGAUAUUGAGCAGAAAAUUCACCACAAAAUCACAUCCAUGAAAAAAAAACUAGCUCUGCAGAAAAUAAUACAUUGUACGUCUUCAUAGUACAUAACACUACAAGUUCCUAUCUUCUUGGUGGACAUCCUGUUGAUCUUGUUGUUCUGGUCAGAGAUUUGUGUCAACAGCACAUCUGAUGUUUUCCCUUGCGAUGCACCAGGGGAAAUUAUUGCAACAUGUUUUUUUUGUCUAAUCAAUUGUUAUAAAACAAAUAAAAGAAAUCUCAGUGUUUAGCACACACUUCACUAAUUUGCAUCUAUUCUGUCUUCGACAUUAGGCCA
rnacentral:lncRNA from 1 species